ACAGUGGACGCGAGCAUCUGUGGCCAAGUUUUUAAGGGCGCACGGUGGAUGCCUUGGCACCAGGAACCGAUGAAGGACGUGGGAGGCCACGAUAGUCCCCGGGGAGCUGUCAACCAAGCUUUGAUCCGGGGGUUUCCGAAUGGGGAAACCCGGCAGUCGUCAUGGGCUGUCACCCGCUGCUGAACACAUAGGCAGUGUGGAGGGAACGAGGGGAAGUGAAACAUCUCAGUACCCUCAGGAAGAGAAAACAACCGUGAUUCCGGGAGUAGUGGCGAGCGAAACUGGAUGAGGCCAAACCGUAUGCGUGUGAUACCCGGCAGGGGUUGCGCAUGCGGGGUUGUGGGAUCUCUCUUUCAUAGUCUGCCGGCUGUGAGACGAGUCAGAAACCGUUGAUGUAGGCGAAGGACAUGCGAAAGGUCCGGCGUAGAGGGUAAGACCCCCGUAGCUGAAACAUUGACGGCUCGUUUGAGAGACACCCAAGUAGCACGGGGCCCGAGAAAUCCCGUGUGAAUCUGGCGGGACCACCCGCUAAGCCUAAAUAUUCCCUGGUGACCGAUAGCGGAUAGUACCGUGAGGGAAUGGUGAAAAGUACCGCGGGAGCGGAGUGAAAUAGUACCUGAAACCGUGUGCCUACAAGCCGUGGGAGCGUCGCUGGCAGCACUUGUGCUGUCAGUCGUGACUGCGUGCCUUUUGAAGAAUGAGCCUGCGAGUUAGCGGUGUGUAGCGAGGUUAACCCGUGUGGGGAAGCCGUAGCGAAAGCGAGUCCGAACAGGGCGGUUGAGUUGCACGCUCUAGACCCGAAGCGGAGUGAUCUAGCCAUGGGCAGGUUGAAGCGGAGGUAAGACUUCGUGGAGGACCGAACCCACCAGGGUUGAAAACCUGGGGGAUGACCUGUGGUUAGGGGUGAAAGGCCAAUCAAACUCCGUGAUAGCUGGUUCUCCCCGAAAUGCAUUUAGGUGCAGCGUCGUGUGUUUCUUGCCGGAGGUAGAGCACUGGAUAGGCGAUGGGCCCUACCGGGUUACUGACCUUAGCCAAACUCCGAAUGCCGGUAAGUGAGAGCACGGCAGUGAGACUGUGGGGGAUAAGCUCCAUGGUCGAGAGGGAAACAGCCCAGAGCAUCGACUAAGGCCCCUAAGCGUACGCUAAGUGGGAAAGGAUGUGGAGUCGCAGAGACAACCAGGAGGUUGGCUUAGAAGCAGCCACCCUUGAAAGAGUGCGUAAUAGCUCACUGGUCAAGUGAUUCCGCGCCGACAAUGUAGCGGGGCUCAAGCGUACCGCCGAAGUCGUGUCAUUCACACAUAUAGGGUCAACGCCCGUGUGGAUGGGUAGGGGAGCGUCGUGUGCCGGGUGAAGCAGCCGCGGAAGCGAGUUGUGGACGGUUCACGAGUGAGAAUGCAGGCAUGAGUAGCGAUACACACGUGAGAAACGUGUGCGCCGAUUGACUAAGGGUUCCUGGGUCAAGCUGAUCUGCCCAGGGUAAGUCGGGACCUAAGGCGAGGCCGACAGGCGUAGUCGAUGGACAACCGGUUGAUAUUCCGGUACCCGCUUUGAAACGCCCAGUACUGAAUCAGGCGAUGCUAAGUCCGUGAAGCCGGCCCGAUCUCUUCGGAGUUGAGGGUAGUGGUGGAGCCGAUGAACCAGACUUGUAGUAGGUAAGCGAUGGGGUGACGCAGGAAGGUAGUCCAGCCCGGGCGGUGGUUGUCCCGGGGUAAGGGUGUAGGACGCACGGUAGGCAAAUCCGUCGUGCACGUUAAGUCUGAGACCUGAUGCCGAGCCGAUUGUGGUGAAGUGGAUGAUCCUAUGCUGUCGAGAAAAGCCUCUAGCGAGUUUCAUGGCGGCCCGUACCCUAAACCGACUCAGGUGGUCAGGUAGAGAAUACCGAGGCGUUCGGGUGAACUAUGGUUAAGGAACUCGGCAAAAUGCCCCCGUAACUUCGGGAGAAGGGGGGCCAUUCCUGGUGAUAGCACUUGCUGCUUGAGCUGGGGGUGGCCGCAGAGACCAGCGAGAAGCGACUGUUUACUAAAAACACAGGUCCGUGCGAAGCCGUAAGGCGAUGUAUACGGACUGACGCCUGCCCGGUGCUGGAACGUUAAGGGGACCGGUUAGCUGCUUUUCGGAGUGGCGAAGCUGAGAACUUAAGCGCCAGUAAACGGCGGUGGUAACUAUAACCAUCCUAAGGUAGCGAAAUUCCUUGUCGGGUAAGUUCCGACCUGCACGAAUGGCGUAACGACUUCUCGACUGUCUCAACCAUAGGCCCGGUGAAAUUGCACUACGAGUAAAGAUGCUCGUUUCGCGCAGCAGGACGGAAAGACCCCGGGACCUUUACUAUAGUUUGAUAUUGGUGUUCGGUUCGGCUUGUGUA
rnacentral:rRNA from 1 species